rnacentral:lncRNA from 1 species
GACCCUUGGAGAAUCCCGAGCCCUCGGCACAGAGAGAGAGAGAGAGAGAGAGAGAGAGAGAGAGACCCCUGUGUCCACGCCGCGGAGGGAGAGUUUCACGGUCCCUCAGGACCUGACUCCCCGAGGAGAUUCAGUGGGGAAGAGGAGUCCGAGGAACGUUCAGGAGUUGGUGAAGGAGCGCUCAUCCUUAAGAAAAGAAAAUGCUCUUCCGGAAACUCCAGCCAGAAGUUAACCGACAACAAGAACCUUUUAAGAGGCUUCAGGGAGGCACACGGCACCCAGUGCAGACUGAAGAACUAUUUUCCCAAUCCAAGCAGAACCCUGCUGUGGGAGGAAGCUGAGGAAUCUUUUCCCAAUUAACAGUGUCCUGGGGGCUUCCCUGGUGGUGCAGUGGUUAAGAAUCCGCCUGCCAAUGCAGGGGACAUGGGUUCGAGCCCUGGUCUGGGAAGAUCCCACAUGCUGCGGAGCAACUAAGCCCAUGCGCCACAGCUACUGAGCCCGUGCUGUAGAGCCCGUGAGCCGCAACUACUGAGCCCAUGUGCCACAACUACUGAAGCCUGCAAGCCUAGACCCCAUGCUCCUCCACAAGAGAAGCCACCACAAUGAGAAGCCUGCGCACUGCACCGAAGAGUAGCCCCCGCUCACCGCAACUAGAGAAAGCCCACGCACAGCAACAAAGACCCAAUGCAGCCUAAAUAAAUAAAUAUAUAAAUAUAUUUUAAAAAAGAAACCAAACAGUGUCCUGGGAGUGAAUCUGAAGGGAAGCCUGGGCAUCCUCAAUACCAAGAAGUCUCUGAGAAUGACUGGGUCUUGGCUCUGUGGUCUUACCUCCACCUCACCAAAAGUGUGAUCAUCUACAAUUGUCUUAUGUGGAUGAGUCACAGCAAGGACUUUGGAAGCCAGCUGACCACUCAAGUGACCAUAAGACACAUAUUAUAGUCACAUAACUGCCAUGGAUCAAAGCAAGUGUCAACCUCUCUUAACCUUUGUCCACAGCCUCCAUCACCUUUGAGAGUCAUUACAUUUGAAUCACUGAUCUUAUUCUUC